rnacentral:rRNA from 1 species
AAACAUAACCUUUAGCAAAACAAGUAUUAAAGGCAGCUCCUGCCCAGUGAGACAUCUUAAACGGCCGCGGUACCCUAACCGUGCAAAGGUAGCAUAAUCACUUGUCUACUAAUUAUAGACUAGUAUGAAAGGAUGAAUGAGGGCCAAACUGUCUCUUGUAGCAAAUUAAUAAAACUGAUCUCUCAGUCCAAAAGCUGAAAUAAACAUAUAAGACGAGAAGACCCCGUGAAGCUUUAGGAACCUGUCAUAAUUAUUUGACACUACCUUUGGUUGGGGCGACCCUGGGAAUAAACAAAACUCCCAAGCACAUGGAAAUUUUAAUCCACAAAAGGCCAACAAGCCAUCAUACGACCCAGUACACCUGAUAAUCGAAACAAGUUACUCCGGGGAUAACAGCGCCAUCUUCUUUAAGAGCCCAUAUCAAAAAGAAGGCUUACGACCUCGAUGUUGGAUCAGGACACCCAAAUGGCGCAGUCGCUAUUAAAGGUUCGUUUGUUCAACGAUUAACAGUCCUACGUGAUCU